AUGAAGGGUCAUCUCUUUCCACAUGGCGGAAGAAUUGUCUGCUCUUCACUACCUUGUCAUGGUUAUGAAGAUAUCACUGGGCUCCCAUCUACGGAAGUUGUGCUGCUUGAGUCACGAGAUGGAAGAAUGCCAAUGGCUAGAAAUGGUCACCUUGAUCUAAUACGGUGUGUGGUUUCUGUGGAAUUAAGAGGAAAGUUGAAAUUUAUCAUAAAGACCUAUUCACCUUCACACCCUGCUGAGAUGGCUACUUAUGAUGUCCUCUUCACACCCCAAAAAUGCAACAUAAGUAAAAAAAACAUGUAA
rnacentral:rRNA from 1 species